CCUACGGGAGGCAGCAGUGGGGAAUUUUGGACAAUGGACGCAAGUCUGAUCCAGCCAUGCCGCGUGCGGGAAGAAGGCCUUCGGGUUGUAAACCGCUUUUGUCAGGGAAGAAACGGGUUUCUCUAAUACAGAGACCUAAUGACGGUACCUGAAGAAUAAGCACCGGCUAACUACGUGCCAGCAGCCGCGGUAAUACGUAGGGUGCAAGCGUUAAUCGGAAUUACUGGGCGUAAAGCGUGCGCAGGCGGUUAUGCAAGACAGAGGUGAAAUCCCCGGGCUCAACCUGGGAACUGCCUUUGUGACUGCAUAGCUAGAGUACGGUAGAGGGGGAUGGAAUUCCGCGUGUAGCAGUGAAAUGCGUAGAUAUGCGGAGGAACACCGAUGGCGAAGGCAAUCCCCUGGACCUGUACUGACGCUCAUGCACGAAAGCGUGGGGAGCAAACAGGAUUAGAUACCCUGGUAGUCCACGCCCUAAACGAUGUCAACUGGUUGUUGGGUAGGGUUUCUUCUCAGUAACGAAGCUAACGCGUGAAGUUGACCGCCGUGGGGAGUACGGCCGCAAGGUUGAAACUCAAAUGAAUUGACGGCUGAGAGNGACGAGACGACGACGAGGGAGGAGG
rnacentral:rRNA from 1 species